rnacentral:rRNA from 1 species
UACGAAGGGGGCUAGCGUUGUUCGGAAUUACUGGGCGUAAAGCGCACGUAGGCGGACUAUUAAGUCAGGGGUGAAAUCCCGGGGCUCAACCCCGGAACUGCCUUUGAUACUGGUAGUCUCGAGUCCGGAAGAGGUGAGUGGAAUUCCGAGUGUAGAGGUGAAAUUCGUAGAUAUUCGGAGGAACACCAGUGGCGAAGGCGGCUCUCGUGGGACGGUACUGACGCUGAGACGCGAAAGCGUGGGGAGCAAACAGG